AUUGAACGCUGGCGGCAGGCCUAACACAUGCAAGUCGAGCGGUUGAGGUAGCUUGCUACCGAUGCAGCGGCGAACGGGUGAGUAAUACAUGGGAAUCUGCCUGGUAGUGGGGGACAACGUCUCGAAAGGGACGCUAAUACCGCAUACGCCCUACGGGGGAAAGGGGGGGAUCUUCGGACCUCUCGCUAUCAGAUGAGCCCAUGUCAGAUUAGCUAGUUGGUGGGGUAAAGGCUCACCAAGGCGACGAUCUGUAACUGGUCUGAGAGGAUGAUCAGUCACACUGGAACUGAGACACGGUCCAGACUCCUACGGGAGGCAGCAGUGGGGAAUAUUGGACAAUGGGCGCAAGCCUGAUCCAGCCAUGCCGCGUGUGUGAAGAAGGCCUUAGGGUUGUAAAGCACUUUCAGUGGGGAGAAAGGUUAUUCACCUAAUACGUGAGUAAAUUGAUGUUACCCACAGAAGAAGCACCGGCUAACUCCGUGCCAGCAGCCGCCGUAA
rnacentral:rRNA from 1 species